GACGAACGCUGGCGGCGUGCCUAAUACAUGCAAGUAGAACGCUGAAGGAGGAGCUUGCUUCUCCGGAUGAGUUGCGAACGGGUGAGUAACGCGUAGGUAACCUGCCUGGUAGCGGGGGAUAACUAUUGGAAACGAUAGCUAAUACCGCAUAAGAGUAGAUGUUGCAUGACAUUUGCUUAAAAGGUGCAAUUGCAUCACUACCAGAUGGACCUGCGUUGUAUUAGCUAGUUGGUGGGGUAACGGCUCACCAAGGCGACGAUACAUAGCCGACCUGAGAGGGUGAUCGGCCACACUGGGACUGAGUCACGGCCCAGACUCCUACGGGAGGCAGCAGUAGGGAAUCUUCGGCAAUGGACGGAAGUCUGACCGAUCAUCGCCGCGUGAGGGAAGAAGGUUUG
rnacentral:rRNA from 1 species